rnacentral:rRNA from 1 species
UACGUAGGGGGCAAGCGUUGUCCGGAUUUAUUGGGCGUAAAGAGCGUGUAGGCGGUUUGGUAGGUCCGCUGUGAAAACUCGAGGCUCAACCUCGAGACGCCGGUGGAAACCAUCAGGCUAGAGUCCGGAAGAGGAGAGUGGAAUUCCUGGUGUAGCGGUGAAAUGCGCAGAUAUCGGGAAGAACACCCGUGGCGAAGGCGGCUCUCUGGGACGGUACUGACGCCGAGACGCGAAAGCGUGGGGAGCAAACAGG